rnacentral:rRNA from 1 species
AUUGAACGCUGGCGGCAGGCUUAACACAUGCAAGUCGAGCGGUAACAGAGAGAAGCUUGCUUCUCUGCUGACGAGCGGCGGACGGGUGAGUAAUGCCUAGGAAUCUGCCUAGUAGUGGGGGAUAACUUGCCGAAAGGUAAGCUAAUACCGCAUACGUCCUACGGGAGAAAGGAGGGGACCUUCGGGCCUAUCGCUAUUAGAUGAGCCCAGGUCUGAUUAGUUAGUUGGUGAGGUAAUGGCUCACCAAGACCGCGAUCCGUAACUGGUCUGAGAGGAUGAUCAGUCACACUGGAACUGAGACACGGUCCAGACUCCUACGGGAGGCAGCAGUGAGGAAUAUUGGACAAUGGGGGGAACCCUGAUCCAGCCAUGCCGCGUGUGUGAAGAAGGUCUUAGGAUUGUAAAGCACUUUAAGUUGGGAGGAAGAGCAGUUAACUAAUAUUUGACUGUUUUGACGUUACCGACAGAAUAGGCACCGGCUAACUUCGUGCCAGCCGCCGCCGUAA